rnacentral:rRNA from 1 species
ACUCUGAUCCAGCGAUGCCGCGUGAGUGAAGAAGGCCUUCGGGUUGUAAAGCUCUUUUGUCAGGGAAGAAACACCGGCUCUAACACAGUCCGGGAAUGACGGUACCUGAAGAAUAAGCACCGGCUAACUACGUGCCAGCAGCCGCGGUAAUACAA